CAACCCUCAAGCUCUGCUUGGUAUUGGGUGUCACCGGCUCCGGUGUGCCCUAAAAUCAGUGGCGGUGCCAUCUGGCUCUAAGCGUAGUACAUCUCUCGCUAUGGACGUCCGGUGGAUGCUUGCCAACAACCCCUAAUUUUUUAA
rnacentral:misc_RNA from 1 species